CCCUUAGAUGUUCUGGGCUGCACGCGCGCUACACUGAUGCGCUCAACGAGUUUUAACCUUGCCUGGAAAGGUUGGGUAAUCUUUUUAAAACGCAUCGUGAUGGGGAUAGAUUAUUGCAAUUAUUAAUCUUCAACGAGGAAUUCCUAGUAAGCUUUAGUCAUCAGCUAGAGUUGAUUACGUCCCUGCCCUUUGUACACACCGCCCGUCGCUUCUACCGAUUGAGUGUCUCGGUGAAUACUUUGGACUGCUUUCUUAUCGGUUCGCCGAUUUGCUAAGCGGAAAAUUGAGUGAACCUCGACACUUAGAGGAAGAAGAAGUCGUAACA
rnacentral:rRNA from 1 species